rnacentral:rRNA from 1 species
AUACGGAGGAUCCGAGCGUUAUCCGGAUUUAUUGGGUUUAAAGGGAGCGUAGGUGGGAUAUUAAGUCAGCUGUGAAAGUUUGGGGCUCAACCUUAAAAUUGCAGUUGAUACUGGUUUCCUUGAGUACGGUACAGGUGGGCGGAAUUCGUGGUGUAGCGGUGAAAUGCUUAGAUAUCACGAAGAACUCCGAUCGCGAAGGCAGCUCACCGGGCCGGAACUGACGCUGAUGCUCGAAAGUGCGGGUAUCAAACAGGAUUAGAUACCCUGGUAGUCCGCACAGUAAACGAUGAAUACUCGCUGUUUGCGAUACACGGUAAGCGGCCAAGCGAAAGCGUUAAGUAUUCCACCUGGGGAGUACGCCGGCAACGGUGAAACUCAAAGGAAUUGACGGGG